GACGAACGCCGGCGGCGUGCUUAACACAUGCAAGUCGAACGGAAAGGCCCUGCUUUUGUGGGGUGCUCGAGUGGCGAACGGGUGAGUAACGCGUGAGUAACCUGCCCUUGACUUUGGGAUAACUUCAGGAAACUGGGGCUAAUACCGGAUAGGAGCUCCUGCUGCAUGGUGGGGGUUGGAAAGUUUCGGCGGUUGGGGAUGGACUCGCGGCUUAUCAGCUUGUUGGUGGGGUAGUGGCUUACCAAGGCUUUGACGGGUAGCCGGCCUGAGAGGGUGACCGGCCACAUUGGGACUGAGAUACGGCCCAGACUCCUACGGGAGGCAGCAGUGGGGAAUAUUGCACAAUGGGCGGAAGCCUGAUGCAGCGACGCCGCGUGCGGGAUGACGGCCUUCGGGUUGUAAACCGCUUUCGCCUGUGACGAAGCGUGAGUGACGGUAAUGGGUAAAGAAGCACCGGCUAACUACGUG
rnacentral:rRNA from 1 species